UACAGCCUGAAUUAUGUAAACGCGACAGAUACGGAAGACAUCCGAUAUCUCCUGAAAAGCAAUUACUUUUAGCGAUCUGGUUCAUAAGUACACCGAAUUCUUAUCGGUGUGUUUCUGACAGAUUUGGUGUCCGUAUAAGUACAGCGAAGUGUUCAAAAAGUGGUGAAUGCUUUAUAUAAGAAAGUAGCAACAUUUAUUCACUGGCCAACUGUGGAAGAAGCUGAACACAGUAUAGAAACAAUUAAAAGAAAUCAUGAUUUUCCUGGUGUGAUUGGUGCAAUUGAUGGAACACACAAAAAUUAUUACCCCACAAAAUAACAGUGAUUCCUAUAUAAAUAGAAAAAGGUUUUACUCUAUUCAGUUACAGGUUGUUUGUAAUGAACAGUUGCAAUUUAUACAUUGUUAUACGGACCAAGUUGGUUCUGUACACGAUAUGCGUAUUUUCCGUUUGUCUAAUUUUGAAAAAAUGUGUACAGAUAAUAAUUUUCCGCACGACAGCCACAUAUUGGGUGAUACAGCCUAUCGUCUCACAAAAUAUAUAAUGGUACCAUUUAAAGACAAUGGUUAUCUAUCUGAGCGUCAAAUACGUUUCAACACUCGCCUCGUUUGCACGAAUGAUGGUUGAACGUUCAAUAGGUCUAUUAAAAGGUCGUUUCCGAAGUCUUUUAGAUACACUUCCAAUGUAUAGAACUGAUUUAAUACCUAAAUAUAUAAUCGCUUGUUGCAUUUUGCAUAACAUAUGUUUGUUGCAAAACGAUACGAUAGACAUUCCUGUCAUUGUAAAUGAACAAAAUCGUGCACAAACAGAACCAUUUGAAGACACACAAGGAGGAGUUGAUAAAAGAAAUGCAAUUAUGUACUUCUUAUCGUAAAAUGCCUUUUAUUUAUGUUUAUCAUAAAACAAAA